GGACAAGUAGCUCAGUUGAUUAGAGCGCCUCAUUUACACUGAGGAGGUCACAGGUUUGAGUCCUGUCUUGUCCACCA
rnacentral:tRNA from 1 species